UAUUAGUGAACCAUCUCUCCAGGGAUUGUGAAAGAUGUUCUACUAGAAAUAUUCUUGUUAUUGCUUCGACUCAUAUUCCCCAAAAAGUGGAUCCCGCUCUAAUAGCUCCGAAUAAAUUAAAUACGUGCAUUAAGCUACGAAGGCUUCUUAUUCCACAACAACGAAAGCACUUUUUCACUCUUUCAUAUACUAGGGGAUUUCACUUGGAAAAGAAAAUGUUCCAUACUAACGGAUUCGGGUCCAUAACCAUGGGUUCCAAUGCACGAGAUCUUGUAGAACUUACCAAUGAGGUCCUAUCGAUUAGUAUUACACAGAAGAAAUCAAUUAUAGACACUAAUACAAUUAGAUCCGCUCUUCAUAGACAAACUUGGGAUUUGCGAUCCCAGGUAAGAUCGGUUCAGGAUCAUGGGAUCCUUUUCUAUCAGAUAGGAAGGGCUGUAGCACAAAAUGUACUUCUAAGUAAUUGCCCCAUAGAUCCUAUAUCUAUCUAUAUGAAGAAGAAAUCAUGUAACGAAGGGGAUUCUUAUUUGUACAAAUGGUACUUCGAGCUUGGAACGAGCAUGAAGAGAUUAACGAUACUUCUUUAUCUUUUGAGUUGUUCUGCCGGAUCGGUCGUUCAAGAUCUUUGGUCUUUAUCCGGACCCGAUGAAAAAAAUGGGAUCACUUCUUAUGGACUCGUUGAGAAUGAUUCUGAUCUAGUUCAUGGCCUAUUAGAAGUAGAAGGCGCUCUGGUGGGAUCUUCACGGACAGAAAAAGAUUGCAGUCAGUUUGAUAAUGAUCGAGUGACAUUGCUUCUUCGGCCCGAACCGAGGAAUCCCUUAGAUAUGAUGCAAAAGGGCUCUUGGUCUAUCCUUGAUCAGAGAUUUCUCUAUGAAACGGAGUUUGAAGAAGGGGAGGGAGAAGGAGCCCUUGACCCGCAGGAGGAUUUAUUCAAUCACAUAGUUUGGGCUCCUAGAAUAUGGAGCCCUUGGGGCAAUAAAAAGAGGAGCCCAUUAGAUCCAAAUAGUGAAUCGUAAUAGAAAUAUAAAAUAAAGUUCAGGUUAGAAUUCCAUAGAAUAGAUAAUAUGGAUGGGGUUGUCUAUAAUUAUAGACAAAUGAAAGACUUUCUCAAGAUUCUGAUUCAUCCACUUGAGAUUUUUAAAUUAAAAUAGGUUGGGUGAGCUUGCAAAUUAACUCAAUCUCAUUGAAUAAGUAAACAAUUGAAUUGGUUCAAUUGCAUGGUGCCAACGAAAUCGAGUGCUAAUUCCCAUUUUAUUAAAAUAACCGAUCGACGUGCUAGCGGACAUUUACUUUGAAUUCGAUAAUUUUUGAAAAAACAUUUCAACAUAUUUAUUUAUUUAUUUUAUUAUUAUGAGAAUCAAUCCGACUACUUAUGGUUCUGGGGUUUCCACGCUUGAAAAAAAAACUUGGGGCUUGUCGUCCAAAUCAUCGGUCCGGUACUAGAUGUAGCCUUUCCCCCGGGCAAGAUACCAAAUAUUUAUAACGCUCUCGUAGUUCAAGGUCGAGAUAGUGUUGGUCAAACAAUUAAUGUGGCUUGUUAGGUACAACAAUUAUUAGGAAAUAAUCGAGUUAGAGCUGUAGCUAUGAGUGCUACAGACGAUUUAACGAGAGGAAUGGAAGUGAUUGACACAAGAGCUCCUCUAAGUGUUCCGGUCGGGGGAGCGACUCUGGGACGAAUAUUUAAUGUGCUCGGAGAGCCUAUUGAUAAUUUAGGGCCUGAAGAUACUAGUACAACGUCUCCUAUUCAUAAAUCUGCGCCCGCCUUUAUACAGUUGGAUACAAAAUUAUCUAUUUUUGAAACAGGAAUUAAAGUAGUAGAUCUUUUAGCCCCUUAUCGCCGUGGAGGAAAAAUCGGACUAUUCGGGGGGGCUGGAGUGGGUAAAACAGUACUCAUUAUGGAAUUGAUUAACAAUAUUGCUAAAGCUCACGGGGGCGUAUCCGUAUUUGGCGGAGUGGGUGAACGUACUCGGGAAGGAAAUGAUCUUUACAUGGAAAUGAAAGAAUCUGGAGUGAUUAAUGAAGAAAAUAUUGCAGAAUCAAAAGUGGCCCUAGUUUACGGUCAGAUGAAUGAACCACCAGGAGCUCGUAUGAGAGUUGGUUUGACUGCCCUAACUAUGGCGGAAUAUUUCCGAGAUGUUAAUGAGCAAGACGUACUUCUAUUUAUUGACAAUAUCUUCCGUUUCGUCCAAGCAGGAUCCGAAGUAUCGGCCUUAUUGGGUAGAAUGCCCUCCGCUGUGGGUUAUCAACCGACCCUAAGUACUGAAAUGGGUUCUUUACAAGAAAGAAUUACUUCUACCAAAGAAGGGUCCAUAACCUCUAUUCAAGCAGUUUAUGUACCCGCAGACGAUUUGACCGACCCUGCUCCUGCUACGACAUUUGCACAUUUAGAUGCUACUACCGUACUAUCAAGAGGAUUGGCUGCCAAAGGUAUUUAUCCAGCAGUAGAUCCUUUAGAUUCAACGUCAACCAUGCUUCAACCUCGGAUCGUUGGUGAGGAACAUUACGAAACCGCCCAACGAGUUAAGCAAACUUUACAACGUUACAAAGAACUUCAGGACAUUAUAGCUAUCCUUGGAUUGGACGAAUUAUCCGAAGAGGAUCGUUUACUCGUAGCAAGAGCGCGAAAAAUUGAGCGUUUCUUAUCACAACCCUUUUUCGUAGCAGAAGUAUUUACCGGUUCUCCAGGGAAAUAUGUUGGUCUAGCAGAAACAAUUCGAGGAUUUCAAUUGAUCCUUUCCGGAGAAUUAGAUGGUCUUCCUGAACAGGCCUUUUAUUUGGUAGGUAAUAUCGAUGAAGCUACCGCGAAGGCUAUGAACUUAGAAAUGGAGAGCAAUUUGAAGAAAUGACCUUAAAUCUUAGUGUACUGACUCCUAAUCGAAUUGUUUGGGAUUCAGAAGUGGAAGAAAUCGUGUUAUCUACUAAUAGUGGUCAAAUUGGCAUAUUACCAAAUCACGCCCCUAUUGCCACAGCUGUAGAUAUAGGGAUUUUGCGAAUACGCCUUAACAACCAAUGGUUAACGAUGGCUCUGAUGGGUGGUUUUGCUAGAAUAGGCAAUAAUGAGAUCACUGUUUUAGUAAAUGAUGCGGAGAAGGGUAGUGACACAUAGAUACAAGAAGCUCAGCAAACUCUUGAAAUAGCAGAGGCUAAUGUAAAAAAGGCUGAAGGAAGGAGACAAAAAAUUGAGGCAAAUCUAGCUCUCUGAUGAGCUAGAACACGGGUGGAGGCUAUCAAUCCGAUUUUAUAACUAGUUAGAACGUUCGAAUAGUAAAAAAAUGUUCUCUUUCUAAUCCUAUUUAGAUUCUGUCGGGUGAAUACAAUUAAAUACAAUCAAACAGAAGCCAAUUCUGAUGCAAAAAUUAAAAUUUAAAAAUGAAAUAGAAAAGAUACAAAAUCAAAAAAUAAAUAUCACUAAAGGUGGGUCGUAAACCUUAUUAGAUACCAUUGACUCUGGUAUCUAAUAAGUUUUACCUACUAUUGGAUUUGAACCAAUGACUCCCGCCGUAUGAAAGCAGUACUCUAACCACUGAGUUAAGUAGGUCAUUUAUCAUUCCAAAGAGAACCAAACGAAACCCAUCCUGUCGAUGGAUUAUAAAUAUCAUAUUACUUAUAAGCAAUACUAAUCUAAUAAGCAAUACUAAUCUAAGGAAUACCACUCAAAGAGAUCAAAGAUUGUUGAUGUUGGAUCAUGGAAUAUUUAUCUUGACAAGAAUUUAUCUACAUGAUAAAAUAUGUAUCACAAGCACUAAGGGCUAUAGCUCAGUUGGUAGAGCAACUCGUUUACACGCGCGCCAAUGUUUUUCAAGGGAGUUCAUCAUACAAUCAGAAAAAUCGAUCUUGUUGAGAAAUCGAUGUCUUACUCCAUAACUUUGAGGGAACCAUAGCCUGACAAAGGGUUCGGUCCAAUUUGGACGUCCAUUUAGGAGGUGCCAAACAGACCCCAUCAUUGAUUUGAGAUCUUGAUAAGGUGAAUACCCAGUCUAUUCAAUGCUAGGCAUAAUGAGAGUAUAAGGACCUCAAAAAAAUCUCUUUUCGUCAUAUGAACUUUAAGGUGUAUGAAGUUUCAUAUUUGAUUUUUUAAGCAGAAACGAUAGAGACUUCAUUUAACUUAGGUUUAUUUAGGCCAGAGACAGACCUACGUCAAGAUAAUCCCACCUUUGAAACACUUUGGUAAUGCUCCCAAAUAAUGAAUCAGAGCACAUGGAGCCAUUUCCUUAUCUUUUUUUCUGUCAAGAAAAAAAAUGGCAGACUAACUGCUAUAAAUAUCAGUUAAUGAAAGAGCCCAAUGCAAAAAAAAUGCAUGUUGGGUCUUUGAAACAGUUCAGAUCAUUUUAAUAAUAAUAAGUUUGAUCUGUUUUACCGAGAAGGUCUACGGUUCAAGUCCGUAUAGCCCUAUAAAAUAAAAUAAAAAUGAAAAAAUAAAAUUGUAUAAUUUUCAUUUCUUCAUUAUUAUUUCUUGCUUGUAACUAAGUGAAAUUCAACUAUUCCUAUAAGUUUACUCACGGCAAUCGUUUAAGUUUAAGCAGAUGAAAGAAAAAACGCAUAUCAAUGGAUCCAAUCGAUAUUUAUUUUUUCAAUUGCAGAUAAACAAACCAACCUUUCGUCAUUAAUCUUCGGAGGCGAAUUACAUAUUCAUAUCCACAAUAAAAGAAUUAGUGAGACCCCCUUUCUUUUGAUAUCCCCAAUCUUAUUGAAUUUUGGAAGUCAAAUCAUUUCACGGGCCUGGUGAAAUGAAAAACUACGAAGAGGAAUUCACAUGGAUUUAGGAAGGGACUGCUGUAUUUGUGUACAAGCUAAAGUUUUUUGAAAAACGAAUAUCUUUGGUCACUUUCAUUAUCAAAUAGGCUUUUCCUUCGUAUACCUUACUUACCUCGACCUAGCGAAGCACAACACAAAAAAGGUAGUCUUCUUUUUCUGUAUUCAACCAAGAAAAACCCCUCCACCUGGAUUCGAAUCCUAAUACUAUUAUUAAAUAAUAAUAAAAUAAUAAAAGGAAUAUACCAACACAAGAUCUUCUAAAUCUUGAGAUGGAAGUUCCUAUACAUUCUCUUCUAUUUGAUUACUUGUUCCAUUCUAGAUCACUAAAUCACUAAGAAAAAAAAUUAAAAUAAAGACCUCCUGAUUCUAU
rnacentral:lncRNA from 1 species